rnacentral:rRNA from 1 species
AGAGUUUGAUCAUGGCUCAGGAUAAACGCUGGCGGCGCACAUAAGACAUGCAAGUCGAACGGACUUAACCAUUAGUUUACUAUUGGAGCGGUUAGUGGCGGACUGGUGAGUAACACGUAAGCAACCUGCCUAUCAGAGGGGAACAACAGUUAGAAAUGACUGCUAAUACCGCAUAUGCCUUAACCUUCGCAUGAAGGAAGAGGGAAAGGAGCAAUCCGCUGAUAGAUGGGCUUGCGUCUGAUUAGAUAGUUGGUGGGGUAACGGCCUACCAAGUCAACGAUCAGUAGCCGCGG